UUUCAGAAAAACUCUCUCCCCUCUCUUAUUUUUCUCUCACUCUCUCACUUCCACCAGGGGUUUUUCUCUCUCUACCUCUCUCUCCCUGACGCUCCUCUCAACCCCAAAUGUGCCUUCAGCACAGCCAUUGCUCCGCCUUGCCAGUUUUGACAAGAACGGGUUUGGUCUGUCGGAUUACCCUGAAACCCACAAAUCUCUUUCCCCACUACCGCCCACACUAUGCUUUGAAAUCUUCUAAAAGCAAUAGAUGGUGUCAAUCAACUGCUUGUUGUUUGUCUCCGUUGAAGUCCGACUGUUUUGGGUAUGGUUGAUUGGUUUGGAUUUUUGGGUUUCAAAUGAAUGGCAGUUGGAUGGUCGUUUACAGACUUGGGGGUUGAUGUCAAAAUGGGUUUUGAUAUGAGCAUGUGUUUUAUUGUGUAAAUACUAAAUACAUGUCAUUGUGUGCGGCGUGAGUGAUUGAGUGUGAGUGAAAUUUGUAUUUAUGCUUAAAUUAGUGUAAACACAUGGAGUAGACUGCUGGCCUUAAAAUUUGGGUUAUGGUGUGUCUUCAUAUGAUAUUGGAACUAGUUUUGGUCAUUUUGCUAUUGCAACUCCAGAUGUUUACAAAUUGGUUGAAGACAUCUGGGCCAAGGGUGGUUUUGUCACUAGAGAGCCUGAUCUUAUUAAAGGUGGACAAUCUGUUAUUGCCUUUGUGAAGGAUCCUGAUGGUUAUGUUUUUGAGCUUAUCCAAAGAGUUCCAACUCCUUAGCCACUGUUGGUGAUUUGGAAACUGCUGGCACCACCUAUUUUAAGUGAAUCUUUGCCCAUGGAUGUGUAUAUUUUAUUAGAACUCUUGUUAUUAUUAUUAUGUUUUUGUAAUCAAAGUUUACAUUUCAAUAGAAGUUUUUUCAUUCUUGGAUCAAA